rnacentral:rRNA from 1 species
AGUGAACGCUGGCGGUAGGCCUAACACAUGCAAGUCGAACGGCAGCACAGGAGAGCUUGCUCUCUGGGUGGCGAGUGGCGGACGGGUGAGGAAUACAUCGGAAUCUACUCUGUCGUGGGGGAUAACGUAGGGAAACUUACGCUAAUACCGCAUACGACCUACGGGUGGAAGCAGGGGACCUUCGGGCCUUGCGCGAUUGAAUGAGCCGAUGUCGGAUUAGCUAGUUGGCGGGGGAAAGGCCCACCAAGGCGACGAUCCGUAGCUGGUCUGAGGGGAUGAUCAGCCACACUGGAACUGAGACACGGUCCAGACUCCUACGGGAGGCAGCAGUGGGGAAUAUUGGACAAUGGGCGCAAGCCUGAUCCAGCCAUACCGCGUGGGUGAAGAAGGCCUUCGGGUUGUAAAGCCCUUUUGUUGGGAAAGAAAUCCAGCUGGCUAAUACCCGGUUGGGAUGACGGUACCCAAAGAAUAAGCACCGGCUAACUUCGUGCCAGCAGCCGCAGUAA